rnacentral:lncRNA from 1 species
CAUGAAAUACAGCUGCUGUAUACAUGUUACUGAUGGUCCUGCCCCUUACCCUCCCAGCUCCCCCUCCCACCCUUUGACUUUUCAUAUUAGAAUGACCUCUGGACCCACACCAUAAGGGCUACACAGUGGUCACAGGGCCUUCUGAUGAUCAGUGACACGAAUGUGUCAUCCAGGGCUUGUGGCUGGGACACUUCAGGCCAUCAGGUAUGAUGGGAUGGGAGUUUCCCACUCUUCACUCUUUUUUUUUUUGCUCCCUCUUCCUUACUGCUAGUAGAAAAAGAGAUGCUUGAGCAGAACCACUUAUUGCAGUUAUGCUAGGAGCAGUUGUCACAUUAGCAAGAUAGAGGUUGGUUGGUCCCUUGUUGACAUAUCAAUUGGAAGUAACUCU